GCCUGGGCACUGCCUCUCUGUCCCUGAUUCAAAUGCCAAGCCUGCAGCGGCGAAGUCUGAUUGGCAGAAACUAGGUCACAUGACCAUAUCAGGCUGCAAGGGAAACUGGGAAACCAAGCAUCGGAGGGUUUUUCUUCUCAAGGGAAAGGCACAUCUGCCUCCUGCCUCAUGACUCCUGAGGAAGAGACUCCUCUAAAUAGGACAGAAAAUGCAGAUGCCAGGCAGCCGGGGCAAACAAGAGCAAGCAAAGGCCCCCCAGAGCGGGGUAGUUCUUCCUGUUCCUGGGAGUAUGGUCCAGUCUUCAGGGUGUCUGGCUAUGAGUGAGGAUCCCAGAAACGCAGCCUUGUUUCCCACCGCAGCUUCUCCAAUGCCUCACCUCGGAGCAACACACGGUGAGUUCCAGUGCUGCGGCAUAGAGGCUGGCGGGGGUCAGUGACAGCCUCUACAUCAGCGUAAUAUCACAGAGAAUGGCAGGGAGCCUCCUGCAGGGAGAAGCGGGUGGCCGGCCACAGGGCCUGUCUUUUGUUUAUGAUCACGGGCAGAACAGAUGUGAAGCGGCUUACAAAAAAAUGAGCAACUGCUGAAAACUAAUCCAGGCUUGGGCUGUAAUUCCGAGGCAGCACACCUGCCUAGUGCAUGCAGGCCCUGGAUUCACUGCACAUCACUGCCAGGAAAACAAAACAAAACUACAUUUGCCAAAAUAUUCACAUAGUAAGCUGUCGUGUCCCAGCUCCCCUGCUUGCUGCCUGUGUGAUCUGGGACAUGUUUUAUGUCUUCAAGCUUCAGUUUCCUCAUCUGUAGAAUGGAUGGCAGUGGUACCCACCUGCAUUGAGUUAUUUGUAGAUGUAAGUAAAUUAAUACAAAAGAGUACUUGGCCCAGUGCCUGGCGUGGUGUGUGCAGGCAAAAAAAUCUCAGCAGUCAUCAUCACGGUGAAAUCUCAGUUUUUUGUUUGUUUGUUUGUAAAAAUGUAAUCUAAAGCCUGGUGUGGUGGCGCACACCUGUAAUCCCAGCACUCGGGAGGCUGUGAGUUCGAGACCAACCUGGGCUACAUAGUGAGUUCGAGACCAACCUGGACUACAUAGUGAGUUCCA
rnacentral:lncRNA from 1 species